CAUAAAUAAUUACGUACAGUUCAAGAGCAAGCACCGUAUUGAGCCAGUAUGUUUGUUAGUG
rfam:Human poliovirus 1 99/056-252-14, complete genome.